UCCGUCGACAUCUACUCCUCCUGCACCAAUAGAUCACCGCCUUGCCCUCGCCUCCUUCCCUCUACAAUGGUGCUUGUGCCUCACUCACCUCUCUGGUUCAUAGCCAUUGUGGCACCUCCCUCUAGCUUCCAUCGUCGAACUUAGGCUGUUAGAUCCAUGGUGGCUCAAGGGUUGCCUGAUCCUACCGCCAUGAGGUUGAGGGAGACCAAAUUUGUUCGACAUGAUUUUGGUUGCGGUGACGAUGGUGGGACAAGCGGUGAUGUCCAUGGCAUAUCUAGGAUGACGAUAAGCUGGGAUCCUUGGUAGGUGGCAGCUGCCAAUCCCCUUUGCUUGAGGCCACUAGAUCCACGAGCUUGAUAGCUGAGGCCACCAUAUCCCAACUUGUGUGUUCUGGUGGUUGAUUUGUGUUGUACUUGUUUGUGUGUUUCGAAC
rnacentral:lncRNA from 1 species